GAUUUCUGACGAACCGGAGUGGCCCGUUUCCUUUCCGGGAAUGAGUGCCGCUUUGAGUUUGUCAUCCAUCCAGAGAGCUGCGUCUACCGUUUACUCGGCCGGACGUAUCGAUCUGGAUCUAUUACUUUGAAAAAAUUAGAGUGUUUAAAGCAGGCUUAUGCUCUGAAUACAUUAGCAUGGAAUAAUAAUCUAGGACUUUGGUUCUAUUUUGUUGGUUUCUAGGACUGAAGUAAUGAUUGAUAGGGAUAGUUGGGGGUGCUAGUAUUCCGCGGCCAGAGGUGAAAUUCUUGGAUUCGGUCAAGCCUAACUUAUGCGAAAGCAUU
rnacentral:rRNA from 1 species